rnacentral:rRNA from 1 species
UACGUAGGGUGCGAGCGUUAAUCGGAAUUACUGGGCGUAAAGCGUGCGCAGGCGGUGAUGUAAGACCGAUGUGAAAUCCCCGGGCUUAACCUGGGAACUGCAUUGGUGACUGCAUUGCUCGAGUAUGGCAGAGGGGGGUGGAAUUCCACGUGUAGCAGUGAAAUGCGUAGAGAUGUGGAGGAACACCGAUGGCGAAGGCAGCCCCCUGGGCCAAUACUGGACGCUCAUGCACGAAAGCGUGGGGAGCAA